GUUAAAUGUAAUAGAACUACUGGCUAUUGGUCUAAGCUACUUGCCCUGAUAAUUCAGCCACAGAAUUAGUCCUGAACUCGGGGCUAGAACCAAGAACUUUUUUCCCACUAUUGAUGUUACACAGCUACUAUUUAUUUCAAUGUGCUCUCCUUACCCAAAAUGUAGCCCAUGAUUCAAACUUGUUACUCUUCAUGUCAAGUUCAUUUCUCAGGCCUUGUUGGAUCUGUGACCAGUCUUUGGAGUAAGAAUACCAAGGUUCUUGGAGCCACAAGUGAGAGUUGGGUCACAGGUGAAUGCCAGUGAUGGAUGAGCAGCCCUAAAAAUGGUAUGGCAAGUUUCAGACCACAUCUAGUCAUGCCCCAAUUGAUGGACACCCCUUCAAUUUCCAGUUGCUUGCCACCACAAAAAGGAGCUGUCAUAAAUAUUUUUGGUCAGCACUGGUUGGACUACGUGGACACUGGGGAAAGUAACCAACCAGGUGGCACUAAUUGGCCAAAUCCUAAUUAAAACAAAACAAAAAAUAACUUUGAUCCAAAUAGCCUCCCAUUUUUAAAGAAUUUGAAGUCUAUUUUCUUAAUCAUGAAAUGAGAGAAUGAGACUCAGUGAUGUCUAUAUUUCAUUCCACUUUGAGUCUACAUUCAUUAUCACAUAUCUGAGUUGAAUUUUACAUAGCUAUCUUCCUUAGGUAUGCAUAAACAAAUUUGCCUGGAAAAGCAGUCUUGCUCAACAGUUGCAAUAAAUUUAGAAACUAUAAACUUGCCUAGAACUAU
rnacentral:lncRNA from 1 species